rnacentral:rRNA from 1 species
AGCUCCAGAAGCGUAUAUUAAUAUUGUCGCGGUUAAAAAGCUCGUAGUUGGAUUUCUGUUAAACCGUUCUGGCCCGCAGAUCUAAUCUGUGAGCGCCGGAAUGUUGUUUUUCAUCCUUUCAGAGAGCGUGUCUACUAUUAACUUAGCAGGACAUUGUAAUCUGAAUCAUUUACUUUGAAAAAAUUAGAGUGUUCAAGGCAGGCAUUUGCUAUGAAUACAUGAGCAUGGAAUAAUGAUAUAGGACUUUGGCCCUAUUUUGUUGGUUUCUAGGACUGAAGUAAUGAUUGAUAAGGAUAGUUGGGGGUGCUAGUAUUGUUAGGCCAGAGGUGAAAUUCUUGGAUUCUAGCAAGACUAACUACUGCGAAAGCAUUCACCAAGGAUAUCUUUUUUAAUCAAGAAC